rnacentral:rRNA from 1 species
GACGAACGCUGGCGGCGUGCUUAACACAUGCAAGUCGAGCGGUAAGGCCCUUUCGGGGGUACACGAGCGGCGAACGGGUGAGUAACACGUGGGUGACCUGCCCUCAGCUCUGGGAUAAGCCUGGGAAACCGGGUCUAAUACCGGAUAUGACUCCAUGACGCAUGUUGUGGGGUGGAAAGCCUUGUGCGGCUGAGGAUGGGCCCGCGGCCUAUCAGCUUGUUGGUGGGGUGAUGGCCUACCAAGGCGACGACGGGUAGCCGGCCUGAGAGGCGACCGGCCACACUGGGACUGAGACACGGCCCAGACUCCUACGGGAGGCAGCAGUGGGGAAUCUUGCGCAAUGGGCGAAAGCCUGACGCAGCGACGCCGCGUGAGGGAUGACGGCCUCGGUGUAAC